rnacentral:rRNA from 1 species
GCAAGUCGAGCGCGCCCUUCGGGGUGAGCGGCGGACGGGUUAGUAACGCGUGGGAAUAUGCCCAAAGGUACGGAAUAGCCUCUGGAAACGGAGAGUAGUACCGUAUGUGCCCUUCGGGGGAAAGAUUUAUCGCCUUUGGAUUAGCCCGCGUUAGAUUAGGUAGUUGGUGGGGUAAUGGCCUACCAAGCCUACGAUCUAUAGCUGGUUUUAGAGGAUGAUCAGCAACACUGGGACUGAGACACGGCCCAGACUCCUACGGGAGGCAGCAGUGGGGAAUCUUGGACAAUGGGCGCAAGCCUGAUCCAGCCAUGCCGCGUGAGUGAUGAAGGCCUUAGGGUCGUAAAGCUCUUUCGCCAGGGAUGAUAAUGACAGUACCUGGUAAAGAAACCCCGGCUAACUCCGUGCCAGCAGCCGCGGUAAUACGGAGGGGGUUAGCGUUGUUCGGAAUUACUGGGCGUAAAGCGCGCGUAGGCGGAUCGGAAAGUUGGGGGGUGAAAUCCCGGGGCUCAANCCCGGAACU